rnacentral:rRNA from 1 species
AGAGUUUGAUCCUGGCUCAGAUUGAACGCUGGCGGCAUGCUUUACACAUGCAAGUCGAACGGGGUGAGGGGGCAACUCCUCAUUCAGUGGCGAACGGGUGAGUAAUGCAUCGGAACGUGUCCUGGAGUGGGGGAUAACCCGGCGAAAGCCGGACUAAUACCGCAUACGCUCUGAGGAGGAAAGCGGGGGACCCGAAAGGGCCUCGCGCUGCGGGGGCGGCCGAUGUCCGAUUAGCUUGUUGGUGGGGUAAUGGCCUACCAAGGCGACGAUCGGUAGCUGGUCUGAGAGGAUGAUCAGCCACACUGGGACUGAGACACGGCCCAGACUCCUACGGGAGGCAGCAGUGGGGAAUUUUGGACAAUGGGGGCAACCCUGAUCCAGCCAUGCCGCGUGCGGGAAGAAGGCCUUCGGGUUGUAAACCGCUUUUAGCCGGGAAGAAAAGGCACGGGCCAAUACCCUGUGUUCUUGACGGUACCGGCGGAAUAAGCACCGGCUAACUACGUGCCAGCAGCCGCGGUAAUACGUAGGGUGCGAGCGUUAAUCGGAAUUACUGGGCGUAAAGCGUGCGCAGGCGGUUCGCCGUGUCCGAUGUGAAAGCCCCGGGCUCAACCUGGGAAUGGCAUGGGAAACUGGCGGGCUGGAGUGUGGCAGAGGGGGGUGGAAUUCCGCGUGUAGCAGUGAAAUGCGUAGAGAUGCGGAGGAACACCGAUGGCGAAGGCAGCCCCCUGGGCCAACACUGACGCUCACGCACGAAAGCGUGGGGAGCAAACAGGAUUAGAUACCCUGUAGUCCACGCCCUAAACGAUGUCGACUGGGUGUCGGGGAAGCGAUUCCUUGGUACCGAAGCUAACGCGUGAAGUCGACCGCCUGGGGAGUACGGCCGCAAGGUUAAACUCAAGGAAUUGACGG